rnacentral:tRNA from 1 species
UCCGCAUUAGUGUAGGGGUUAACAUACUCCGCUUUCAAAACUACGAAGGUCCGGAGAGCCCCGGGUUCGAUUCCCGGAUGCGGAA